rnacentral:snoRNA from 1 species
UUGCAAAUAUUCUCAUUCUGAUUGUGUCAUAAUCAGAGCAGGCUAAACAUUCACUAUAAUAAGACCAUGCAUGUGUCCCCAGACCUAGGUCUUUCCCUAGGUCUGGUUUUAUAAAUGCUGGUGAUAAAC